GUAUUGUCUUGUCGAUGUCACGUCUAGUCGCUCUUGUGAUGUGUUAUCGCUCCUGUCGUGUCGUACCUUGUCUUUGCGGCGUAGCGGCUGUUGUGCUGCCGGGACAAAAAGGACGCCACACAAGCUCCAAGUGUUGCAGAAUCCACCCACAGUGUCCCCGGCGGCUCUGCGCUGGCAAUAAGCUCCGGCAAUCAGACCAUGCAUCCAUCCGUGCGUCCAUCCGUGCAUCCACCCAUGAUUGUCUCGAACAGGACUUUACCCAAGAAGGUCCUCAAAUGGAAGGUACUUUUCCUUGUUGAUGUCUCAAGAAGGAUAGAAAU